UAAGGAAUAUUGGACAAUGCCCGCAAGGGUGAUCCAGCCAUGCCGCGUGCAGGAAGACGGCCCUAUGGGUUGUAAACUGCUUUUGUACGGGAGAAAACCCUCGCUCGUGAGCGAGGCUGAUAGUACCGUAAGAAUAAGCAUCGGCUAACUUCGUGCCAGCAGCCGCGGUAAGACGAAGGAUGCAAGCGUUAUCCGGAUUCAUUGGGUUUAAAGGGAGCGUAGGUGGCCUUGUAAGUCAGUGGUGAAAUCCUGUCGCUUAACGACAGAAUUGCCAUUGAUACUGCAGGGCUUGAGUACAGAUGCCGUUGGCGGAAUAUGACAUGUAGUGGUGAAAUACUUAGAUAUGUCAUAGAACACCGAUUGCGAAGGCAGCUGACGAAACUGUAACUGACACUGAGGCUCGAAAGUGUGGGGAUCAAACAGG
rnacentral:rRNA from 1 species